GCAUAUCAAUAAGCGGAGGAAAAGAAACCAACAGGGAUUGCCCUAGUAACGGCGAGUGAAGCGGCAACAGCUCAAAUUUGAAAUCUGGCGUCUUUGGCGUCCGAGUUGUAAUUUGCAGAGGGCGCUUUGGCAUUGGCAGCGGUCCAAGUUCCUUGGAACAGGACGUCACAGAGGGUGAGAAUCCCGUACGUGGUCGCUAGCCUUUACCGUGUAAAGCCCCUUCGACGAGUCGAGUUGUUUGGGAAUGCAGCUCUAAAUGGGAGGUAAAUUUCUUCUAAAGCUAAAUACUGGCCAGAGACCGAUAGCGCACAAGUAGAGUGAUCGAAAGAUGAAAAGCACUUUGGAAAGAGAGUUAAAAAGCACGUGAAAUUGUUGAAAGGGAAGCGCUUGCAGCCAGACUUGCCUGUAGUUGCUCAUCCGGGUUUUUACCCGGUGCACUCUUCUAUAGGCAGGCCAGCAUCAGUUUGGGCGGUUGGAUAAAGGUCUCUGUCAUGUACCUCCUUUCGGGGAGAACUUAUAGGGGAGACGACAUGCAACCAGCCUGGACUGAGGUCCGCGCAUCUGCUAGGAUG
rnacentral:rRNA from 1 species